rnacentral:rRNA from 1 species
UACGGGGGGGGCAAGCGUUGUUCGGAAUUACUGGGCGUAAAGGGCUCGUAGGCGGCCAACUAAGUCGGAUGUGAAAUCCCCAGGCUUAACCUGGGAACUGCAUCCGAUACUGGAUGGCUUGAAUCCGGGAGAGGGAUGCAGAAUUCCAGGUGUAGCGAUGAAAUGCGUAGAUAUCUGGAGGAAUACCGGUGGCGAAGGCGGCAUCCUGGACCGGCAUUGACGCUGAUGCGCGAAAGCCAGGGGAGCAAACGGG